GGAAGGGUGGCAGAGCGGUUGAAUGCGGCGGUCUUGAAAACCGUUAGGCGGCGUUGAGCCGUCUCGGGGGUUCGAAUCCCUCCCCUUCCGCUA
rnacentral:tRNA from 1 species